UGCAGAGCUGUGCGGGGGUCUGGAGGGCUCCCUGGAAGUCUCUGGAGUUCUCUGGGUGUCUGGAGGUCGUUAGGGGUUUUUAGAGGUGUCUGUGGUGCUGCAGGUGUCUCAAAAGGCUGUAAAGGUCUUGAAGUGCCUUGCAAAGGUCUCGAGGUGUCUGUAGAGGUCUUUAGAGGUCUGCAGGGGCCUCUUAAAGAUAUGUAGGAGUCUGCAGGGGUCUAUUGACAGGUUGGGUGGGGUCCCUAGAGCUCUCUAGGAGACUGGAGUGGUCUGUAGGUUUCUGUAGGGGUUUACAAGUUUCUGUAGCAUUCAGUAGGUGUCUGGAGGUUUCUGUUAAGGGGUCCGCAGGUGUGUGCAGGCAUCAUUUAAGGCUCUGGAGGGGUCUAUAGAUGUGUGCAGGGGUCUGUUAAAUAUCUGGAGGGGUCUGAAGGGGACUGGGGAGCUCUGUAGGGGUCUGUAUGUGUUUGCAGGCAGCUGCAGGGGUCCGUAGAUGCCUGUAGGGAUUUGCAGGGGUCUUAGUUGUCUGCAGGGGUGGGUCGAGGUUUUAAAUCGUUGCUGUAAAUAGCAUUUAUGGCUUUAGAAACCUCCUUGCAAUUAUAAUUUAGAUUGUGGGAAAUUUUAUUUUUUGUUAAAAUAGAAAGUAUUUACCCAUAUUUAUUAAAUUUAUUUUGUAGGAUGUUGUGGGUGUUCUUUUCUCUUUUACAGAGAAUGAAGAUUAUGGAGGGGAAACUGAGGUGACUUCAGAGCAGAGAAGUGAUAUUUUGGAGGAAAAAGCUGAACAGGUCUAUUGGGAAGGAAGCAAAAACUCUGGAGGAAAAAUCUGAGAGUUAUAGUCAGAGGCGAGUCCCUUUGGCCAGAGUACCUUGCUCACCUCCCAUUCUCCAGCCCGAUGCGGAUCCUCUUUGCGAUGUGUCUUGCUUCGCGAUUCCAUGCCACGCCUCUUCCACCAUCAGUGUCAGCUGCUGCUGAGGAAGAAGGAUAGACUUAGGCUUCAGUAGCACCUCCUCCUCCAUGCCCGAGGAAAACAGGGACCUCCCCAGAGGCACCAUCCCUAGUCCGAGUGCCUUUGCGCUCAGCUAGCAGCCCGUGUGGGGUGCCCGUGUCCUUAGCGGGGUGCGGGUGUAGAUGGCCCUAAACUGGAGAGAAGGAGCCUCCGUAGGCCCCUGGGACCAGGGUUGCCCUGCCGGUCGGGGCCCGCUCAGUGCCCUGGCGUCCCAGGCGCGUUUCGAUGCCAGCAGCGAGUACAGCGCGCCGUAAGCAGGAUCGUGUAGCCUCCGCGGCGGCUGCUUUGCGCGCCCAGCUGGAUUUGUGCGGGGUUCCCGCCUCGCAGCCCGUCUCCAGUCCUGACCGGGAGUGUGCCGUGCGCCGCUUGGGCGAGACAAGGCAAAGUGGGAGGGCUUUGCGGCGCUGGGGCUGCCUGCGGGUGGGAAGCUGGCCGGGUGGUGCCCCUGGGGAGGUGCCCAUUUCCCACGGGUGCGGAGGGGGAGGCGCCAGUGAGGCCUAAGCCUGCCCUUGCUCGGCGGUUGCUGGAGCCGACAGCGGAAGAGGCACGACAGAGAAUGGCGAGGUAAAGGACGUUGAGAAGAGGCGGGCCGUCGGUCUGGAGAAGAGGAGACGGGCGAGGCGCUCUGGGCAAAGGGAGUCGCUCCUGACCGAAGGUGUGGUAAGUCGAGAGCUUUGCCGUCACCUCGAGUGUGGCCUGUGUGGCUUUGCGCUGGACAACCUCCACGUAAGUAGGACUCGGUCUUUGCUUGUGCCGUCGUUUGCCUUUUGGCGGUUUGGUCCUUUGGCUGCCCGGAGCCCGGCUGCCCUGUAAGGAAGGCGCGAGGCGGUGUCUCCACGCCCGUUGGGGAAAGGGAUCAACCUGGUCCCCGAGCCCCCCCUGUAAGCGGGGUAGGGUCCUUUCCGCAGCCCCGGCAGCUUGUCAGCUGUGGGCUGCCUGUGCAGCGUGACCCCCUGUGCUCGGGGCGUGUCGCGGCUUUUGUCCUUUGGCCGCCCCUGAGGGCCU